UAAUAUUUGCAAUCUUCUGUAGGCUGUGAGUAUAUUUGGGAUUUAGUUCUCUAUUUUCGAGGACCACAAUAUUCCUCUGUUGGAAAAUCGUGCUUAUUUAUACAAUUUGAACAGUUUGCAGCUACUCAGAGGCUUGCUAUAUCAGACAACAAGCUAACGUUGGCAAUCUGUGCCAGCUACCAACCUUAUAACGUUAUGGUCAAAGUGAACAUCAAAUAUUUGAAAACGUGUUUUUGAAACACUUGGUGAUUCGUGUCCAGAGCCGUUGUCACAUUUAAAUAAUGUUCAUUUUGAAGCCUUGGUGUUCGUGUUAGUUGUGAACAUUAUAUCAGUCACGCAGUCAUGUUGAAUGUAGUGGAUGGCGUUGGCAGUUUCAUAAGUUCCUUGCUCCAUUUUCUGAUUUUGAAUUGAAACAGCACAUGGAGGAUGAGAUGAAUAGUUAUUUUGCUACGUGUAUCAGUCCAAGUCCAAGUGAAGAGUUUCGCCCAGAAUUUCUUGCUCCUGAAGAAGAAUCGUGUGACAGCCUACCAUCAUCUCCAGCAAUGGUUGGGGUCAGUGGUACAACCAUGGCAAAAAGCUGGCUCACCAGCAUUUCCAACGCAUUGGAGAAACUAGCACUUUAGUGUGCUGCGAUGUGUGUGGUGAACAGACAUCAAAUUUGGACGAACAUCGGGCAAGGUCUGGACAUUAUAAAUGUGGACACCAGGAAUAUGGGAACCUGAGAGCUAUGCUGGCGGUAGCCUAGCUGCCGGUAUGGCCUCCCAAGCCGGACAGGUCAAUACGGGUUUUUGCAGCUGGAGUUCAACGUACAACUUUGGCUUCCGGGUGAGAGCCACGUCGAAUGUCUGGUUUUAACUAACGUUUUGGCAAGAGGCGGGGUGAGUUCUGGAGGCCUUAUGUAGGACAGACCUAAGAAGUUACAUAAUUCAUAUGGAGAAUAACAAAGAGCUUUGAAAUUUAAUUAUAACACUAAUAGAAAAAUGUGUAUCUCACGUAUUUGUAAUUUCAAAACAAACUCUAUUUUGGUAAUUAUUACUUAAGAGUUCAAUUUAAAGAGAUGUGAUAAACUUGUUACAUUUUACCUGGUAUACUGUCACAGCAAAGAACUCUGUCUCAGGAAACACGACUGUAGCUUUAGGACUCCGCGAAAGGGCACCACAGUCCGAUGUCUUCACCACUGCAUUCGAAAAGUGCAUGGUUCAAACAUCGUCCGUUAAACCGAUUAUCCAAACUGAGAUUUUUCCUGAUUUCUCCUGGCUUUUCCUAGGAAAAUUCCGGGAAAUUUAAUUAAAUUAGGUCACGAUCUCUUUCCACGCCAUUUUCAGUUCGUUAUUUAUUGACCAUCUUAGUAAUUGGCAAUAUAAAACGAGCUAUUAAUGAGUCGUUAAAUAUGACAGGUAGAAUAAGAAGGUAAAAAUGUACAAAACAUUCAUGUCUGUUUUUCUGUACAGAUUUUAAACUAUAAGGAAUGAACACAGAUUUAGAGUAUAUGAGAACGAAGAUCUGAAGAUUUUGAACCCAAGAAAAGGCAAGCAAGGUUUCGAGAAUACUGAACUUUAUAUAGUGUACCAUCUAUCUAAAACCAUCAGAAUAGUAGAAUCAGAAAGAAUUGGUUUGGAUAAUCAUGUAGCGCGGGGGAGAAAUGAAGUCAAGUCAGGAAUGCUGAAGAGAAGGGACCAUUGCGGAAAGAGAAACAUAGAAGGAAGGACAACUUAAAAAUGUGUCUUACAAAAACGUUGUCUGAAUGUGUGGAAUGGCCAGAACUGAAACUGAAUAUAAUUUAAUGAAGGACCAUGGAAUGUAGACAUGUGAACUUUUAGGUGGAAGUCAACAGCCUACAUCUUUGAGGCAAAAGUUACUACCUACAAGACCAUACGGCGUCACAACCCAGAAGACCAACAUCGACAAGAGGGUCGUGCGCCAUGAAGUCACUUUACGAGAUAAAUAACUAUUACGGGCUUUGGUUGUGACGUCAGCAGUGACAUUCAUAGCCAAUAUAAUAACAAGUAAACAUUACUCAGUAAGUUACUGAAAUGUCUAAGAGUAUCUGAACACGAAAUAAAAUUCUUGGAAGUUUUGAUGGAGAAUAAUACAUUAACAAUAGGCAUGUUCCACGCUCUCCACGGAUAUUCACUUGUCACGUUUUCUCCGCCGCCCGGGACCGUUAAAAUCUAUUCAUGUUACAGAGUGACGUGAAUUUCAUGGAAGCAGAAAUCGGUAUUGACUACAAGAAUCAUUUUCUGGGAAAGCUUUAGCAAAAGGGCGAGUGCAUCACGAUAACUUUCAAACAAAACGAUAUUAGUGAUGAAGAAUUCUUUCUUCUGGGCUGUAACGUCGGUAAACUUCUACCACACCGCACAGCUCAACAAUCUACAACAUGGUCAUAUUUAUACCCGACGCCUUGAGAACCUGAAACCUCACUUGAAUUAUAUCUGCAUGAAUUAUUAGCCUAUGUGACAUCACGCUGUAAAUCGUAAUUGUAAUAAAAUCUGUUAUAAAAUAAACAUAGCGAGGUCAUGGCUCGAAAAUGGGCCGAAGCACCAUA